rnacentral:rRNA from 1 species
AUAGAACGCUAGCGGCAGGCUUAAUACAUGCAAGUUGAGGGGCAGCAUGAUAUACGCGAGUAUAUUGAUGGCGACCGGCGGACGGGUGAGUAAUAGGUAGGAGACCUACCUCAUACAGGGGGAUAGCAUAGAGAAAUCUGUGGUAAUACCCCAUGAGGUUAUAUGAAUAGAGGCAUAUAAUCAAAGCAUAAGCGAUUAUGCGGUAUGAGAGGGGCCUACUGACCAUUAGCUAGUUGGUGAGGUAAGGGCUCACCAAGGCGAAGAUGGUUAGGGGUUUUGAGAGAGAGACCCCCCACAUUGGAACUGAGAGACGGUCCAGACUCCUACGGGAGGCAGCAGUAGGGAAUAUUGGGCAAUGGGCGAAAGCCUGACCCAGCCAUGCCGCGUGAAGGAAGACGGCCUUAUGGGUUGUAAACUUCUUUACUACGCGAAUAGAGGUUAGUACGAGAUACUAAUAGGAAGGUAGUGUAGUAAAAAGCACCGGCUAACUCCGUG